AUGAACGCUGGCGGCGUGCCUAAUACAUGCAAGUCGCGCGAACAGACGAGGAGCUUGCUCCUCUGACGUUAGCGGCGGACGGGUGAGUAACACGUGGAUAACCUACCUAUAAGCCUGGGAUAACUUCGGGAAACCGGAGCUAAUACCGGAUAAUAUAUUGAACCGCAUGGUUCAAUAGUGAAAGACGGUUUUGCUGUCACUUAUAGAUGGAUCCGCGCCGCAUUAGCUAGUUGGUAAGGUAACGGCUUACCAAGGCAACGAUGCGUAGCCGACCUGAGAGGGUGAUCGGCCACACUGGAACUGAGACACGGUCCAGACUCCUACGGGAGGCAGCAGUAGGGAAUCUUCCGCAAUGGGCGAAAGCUUGACGGAGCAACGCCGCGUGAGUGAUGAAGGUCUUCGGAUCGUAAAACUCUGUUAUUAGGGAAGAACAAAUGUGUAAGUAACUAUGCACGUCUUGACGGUACCUAAUCAGAAAGCCACGGCUAACUACGUG
rnacentral:rRNA from 1 species